GAGUCGGACCUGCCCAGUGAAUAUAAAUUUUUAACGGCCGCGGUACUCUGACCGUGCAAAGGUAGCAUAAUCAUUUGCCCUAUAAUUGAGGGCUAGUAUGAAUGGUUUGACGUGAACAAGACUGUCUCUAUAUAAUUUUUUAGAAUUUGAUUUUUAGGUGAAGAAACCUAAAUGAUAUUAAAAGACAAGAAGACCCUAUUGAGCUUUAAAAGAGUGAAUUGAGAAUAAUAUAUAAUUUUAAAUAUUAGUCUAUUAAAAAUUUUGGUUGGGGCGACUAUGGAACAAAUAAAGCUUCUUUAUCAUCAGUAAAACUAACAAGUAUUGAUCCAAAAAUUUUGAUUAAUGGAAUUAGUUACCAUAGGGAUAACAGCAUAAUUCUCUUUGAGAGUUCUUAUCGAAAAGAGAGUUUGUGACCUCGAUGUUGGACUAGAAUAUCCUAAAGAUGCAGCAGUCUUUAAAGGUUGGUC
rnacentral:rRNA from 1 species